GUUUAUCUUUUUUCUCUUUAAAAUAAAGAAAAAGAUCAGAGAGCACAGAUAUUAGACAAUUACCAAUCUUAUCCAAGUGGCUUCAGCCAGGGUCGUGAGUUUAAAUAUUGGUAAAUAACAAGGAAAUGAAGGCAGAACCUGUGUUGAGAUGUUUGGUAAUGAAGGAAAGAGGAGAUGGACUGGGAACAGGAAGGGUAAGUCAGACUAACGGCCCUUGCUGGACAUCCUUAACUUCAGACUUCCUAGUACAAAUGCCAUCUCUUCUGCACAACUUCGCCUAAUAUUAAAAAUCUGUUUCUCUCUAGCUUCUCAUAUCCCUUGCCAUAUGCCCUUUUGCCUCAUGACCAUUUGCCUAUAUAUCUAAUCUUUUCUGUGCUCUAUUUCAUUUAGCUUUUAACUGUCACACCUUCUAGUAUACUUCCUUGCCCAAAGCAGACACCGUGAUCCUUAUCACUUUCCUCCCUAGAGUACUCUGUUCAGUACAAAGCAAGAGAAAGUCUAGUAUUGCCUUUCCCCUUUCAACAUUGCAGAGUUAAUAAUUGUCUUUGACUAGUACUAAAGUCAGACUGCAGAUCCUGAAUUUGAUAAUCAUGGUUUAAUUAAAAUUCCAUUUUGAUGUACAAUAACAUAUAAGCAUUUAAUCAAAGAAUUAAAUGUCUUCUUUACACAGGAUGGUCUAGCAUAUUGGAAAGUGAGAGAAAAUUUGAAUAUCUCAGACCAGAAUGCAAUCCUGGCACUGAUAUUUACUCAUGUGAACUUGAAUAAGCCAUUAAUUUCCUGUCCAUUAAAUGGACUGGGAGACACUUCAAGGCAGAAAUGAGGUGUGGCUCAUGUUCAUUUUACCGGAGCCUGGAAUGGCGCUGAGCACAGAGAAGAUCAUCAGCUGAUGUCUACCCUGCACACGUGAAUAACAGGUCAUGAGGCCACUGCAGUCAUCAUAACAACUCACCUGACUCCAUCCAUGUUGAAGUGUCUGAGCCUCUCCAGCAUGUCUGCCCAUCACCUAUAACCUGGCCAGAAGCACCAACUUGUUUUUCUGUUAUUGUAAUGUUUAAUGAGUAAUCUUUUAAAAUAGUUUUUGCAUGAUUAAAAUGUUUAGUUCCAGACCUUUGGGUAAAUGAUCUCUUUAUUCUACCUCCCUUGUGAGGUAAAGAAAGAUGAAGCAUGUAAACCCCUUGACACAGGACAUGGCAUGGGAAGGAUCCACAGAAAUUUAGGAUGUGCUGAAAUGGUACUCCUUGACUGGAAGCUUUCGGUUCAGAAGGCCUUUUCUAAUGCAUUCAGAGAAAAAUAAAUCUAAGACCUUCUCCCUAUGGCUGGAACAAUAUAGGUUUGGAAUAGCAAAUAGGCUAUGUUAUGGUUUAUACCUAGAUGUCUCCCUAAAGCCUCAUGUGAUCGGAGAUGGGACCACUGGAAGGUGAUUAG